ensembl:lncRNA novel transcript
AUUCUAGGAAGGCUGACACAUGAUGAGAAGAGUCAGUGGUCCUGAGGUACAGUACUUAAGAUAACCCUGUGAAGGCUGAGAUUGAUAUUUGAAAUUCACAACUGAUCUUGGAGCCUGGUACAGCAGUCAUGGAUUUGUUCAUGUGUGGAUGUGAUGGAACUGAAGUCGCUAGGUUCAUGCUACCUGGAACAUGAGACUGACAAAUAGAGGAGCACUGAGUCAAAUGAAUCUCGGAGAAAUGGAGCUGGAAGAAAACUGGAAGUUUCAUUCUUGUUGCCCAGGCUGGAGUGCAAUGGUGUGAUCUUGGCUCACCGCAACCUUGACCUCCUAGGUUCAAGUGAUUCUCCUGUCUCAGUCUCCUGAGUAGCUAGUAUUACAGGCAUGCACCACUAUGCCCGGCUAAUUUUGUAUUUUUAGUUGAGAUGGGGUUUCUCCAUGUUGGUCAGGCUGGUCUCGAACUCCCGACCUCAGGUGAUCCACCUGCUUCAGCCUCCCAAAGUGCUGGGAUUACAGGUGUGAGCAGCCGUGCCCUGCUGAAACUUAUUUGUUUGAGCAAUAAAAGCCACAUAUUUCCUCUUUUGA